rnacentral:rRNA from 1 species
GGGGAAUAUUGGACAAUGGGGGAAACCCUGAUCCAGCAACGCCGCGUGGAGGAUGAAGGUCUUCGGAUUGUAAACUCCUGUUAGGGGGGACGGAGGGUCGCUGGUGAAUAUCCAGCGAACUUGACGGUACCCCCAGAGGAAGCCCCGGCUAACUCUGUGCCAGCAGCCGCGGUAAUACAGAGGGGGCAAGCGUUAUUCGGAAUUAUUGGGCGUAAAGGGCGCGUAGGCGGCCCUGUAAGUCUUGGGUGAAAUCCCUCAGCUCAACUGAGGAACUGCCUCGGAUACUGCAGGGCUUGAGGCCGGGAGAGGGUAGUGGAAUUCCCAGUGUAGCGGUGAAAUGCGUAGAUAUUGGGAGGAACACCGGUGGCGAAGGCGGCUACCUGGACCGGUUCUGACGCUGAUGCGCGAAAGCGUGGGGAGCAA